UACGGAGGGUGCAAGCGUUGUCCGGAAUCACUGGGCGUAAAGGGCGCGUAGGCGGCCUGGUAAGUAGGGGGUGAAAUCCUGCGGCUUAACCGCAGGGCUGCCUUCUAAACUGUCAGGCUUGAGCACGGUAGAGGCAGAUGGAAUUCCCGGUGUAGCGGUGGAAUGCGUAGAGAUCGGGAAGAACAUCAGUGGCGAAGGCGGUCUGCUGGGCCGUUGCUGACGCUGAGGCGCGACAGCGUGGGUAGCAAACAGG
rnacentral:rRNA from 1 species